rnacentral:lncRNA from 1 species
AUUUGAUCAGAACUGCGCAAUCGGCAUGUUACCAAUAACUAAAAACAAUAUAGACAUUUAAAUUGUUCUUAUGAAAUAAGUUAACUGCAGUACUGGUUCAGAUAUGGAUGCUGUUAUUUUCGUCAUACUUUUACUAAUUCAAGUAAUUGCUUUGGUAGACGGUAAGAACAUAAAUAUGUGUUUAUAUGUUUAGAAUAAACAAUUAUGUGAUAUAAUUUACAAUAAGUACUAUAUUGUGUCAUAGUUCUAAAACUUUCAUCGACAACUCAUAAUCAAAACGGUGUUGUCUCACACCAGAUGAAGACUAUUAUUGCGUAUUUAAAUAUAUUAAUUAAAAGUUAUUUUGACUAAUACAAUGUAUUCGUAUCACUAAUAAAACAUAAGAGUUUGUAUUUGUUUAAGCUAUAGUUGGAAAUAUUGGGUUUUUUCCACAUGCAUUUUUUUCUUUUGUUGUGUUAUUGUAUUUCGGCACUUUACUGGCUUUUGAAUUUUGAUAAUUGACUGCUUCCGUUGUAAAAUAUGAUACCGUCCUCUAGGGUUAUUUAGAUUGAUUAAAUUUUAGAAUUUGUGAAAUGUCUAAUAUCUUGUUACUUUCAUUCAUUGUAAUUAGCUCAGAAUUAUACUGUAAUAUAUUCUUGGUUGAUGUGAAACAUAUUAAUUUUCAGAAUAUUUGUUUUAUUCAUAUGAAUUAUGAAUUCGAAAUAUUAUCUGGAAAGCCAAUUGUUUAGCAAAAUGGCACAUCCUGAAUGUAUGCUUGUUAACCAAAGUCAUGGAAAUAUUGAAACAAAAUAGUUAUUCAAAUUAAAACCUGAUCGUAUUUUGAAUGAUAAAGGUCAUUUGCAUAUAAACUAAAUAUAAAGGAAGUAAAUAGUUGUCAUCUUUUAAAACAAGAACAAUUUAUCAAGUGAGAAAGAGUUAAAUAGCAAGUAAAUAGCAUUCAAACUUGUAGUUCAUGCAGUACAGCAAAAAUGGAUUCCUUAUUAUUCUUAAUUGGUAUAUUUGCGUUUAAAUUGUACAAAAAGAUAAUUGUAUAUGAAAUAUAUAUAUUUUCAUCCAUUUUUUAUGAACUGAACAUGUUUCUGCCUGUUAAAAAAAGUAUAUCUUUUUCAAAAUGUGAUUGAAAGGUUGACGACCUGGCUAGUUUGUAAGUGAGAGAAAAUUUGUUAUUAAUUAAUUUUUCUACAAUUGAAGCUCGUUCAACUUUUAUAGCCACAAAAUUAUUCUAAUAAAUAUACCCUCCUUUGUAAAAUUAAAUUAACGUUUGCAUAUUUUUCUAUUAAUUUUGAAAAGCGCUCUGGAUUCCCUAAAUUGAUAUCAAAUAUUAAUAAGGUUCGACUACUUGAAGCUGUUUUUUAAACGCAUCAAGUUACUAUGUCUUACAAACCUGCUCGUGCAUUUUUCAUUGUUAUUCAACGCAAAAUAAUUAUCUAAGAUACCUGGGACGAUCUCAUUUCACAAAGGAUUUCUUUUGUCUACUUAUUUUACCUAAUGCAUGUCUAAUUAGAUACACCCUCUUAAUAUCAGGGGGUUCGAAAUAGGAUCGGGAAAAACACCCAGCAAAAUACUAUAAUUUACUUAUAUUUUUAUUUAAAGUGCUUUUGGUUGCUUAAAUAUCUCCGAUCAAUAUUCAAACGGUAUUUAUAUAUCAAAUAAGCCAAAAGAACUUACCAAUUUAGCAAGGGUAUACUGAGGGACGGGAGAGGCCUAGAUAUUUCGAAGUUUCCAUACCCAUGUGAAUCAUUUGGUUUUGAAUAAAAUGAGCUAAGGGUAUAUAAUAAUUCGACAGCAACCCCAAGACACAAAUAAAUCAAAAUGUAUGGAGUCAACGUUCAUUCUUCUUUAUAUAUAUGAAUAAGGCCGUUGGUUUCUCGUUUUCUUCUUUUUUAUAUAAACAUUGAUAGGAUAAAUUGACAAACCACGUUCACUUAUGUAAAGACGAGUUUCUAGGUCUGUUUAAUUUCAUGUUAUCAUUUUAUAAAGUAUAUAAUCAUCGUUUAAACUGUACACCAAAGAAAUUUCGCAUUUUAGCAAUUAAAAAAGAGGAAUUUCAUAUUGGCGCCCUUGGUUCACUUUUCAAUGUUGACAUUCAUUUUUUUUUUUGUACAUGGUCAGCACAUGUGUUACUCGAGGUCAAAUUAAUUAACGUGUUUGUUUGACCCAUUAGGAAUUUUAACAAAUGACCUCCCCUCUCGAGGCGAACACCCCCACACUAGACCAACCAGGAGAGCAGUAGUUUUUUGGUAGUACAAAUUUUAUACCAAAAACGGAAGUACAAUACACAAUACAGUUUCACAGAAUUCUCACAGUUACUUAAGCGAGCUAAAAGUACCGAACCUAAAUUGCAUGCGUGAAAUGAUAUUGCAAACUACACGUAACCAUCGAUGGUCGACUUCAGGUUAGAUUUUAUGGAUUAACGCUCUCGGCAGAUUAAAAGUCUUGCGCCUAUUAUAUGAGUGAUCCGAAUGUGGCCAGCUGUUGUAAGUCUAAAUUUCUGUCCUUAUUAAAUAUAUCCUCAUUUUCCAGUGGUGUUUUAAAGUUUCACGUCCAACCUCACUGUCGAUCUCCUAUUGCACGACCUACCUAUUGUAUCUAAAAUUUAUGUGUUAUAGUCAUUUUAAAACAUUCAUGAAAUAUUUGCUACUGGACGUAAAGCAAACAACAAUCAAUCAAUUUAAUUAAUUUCCCUGUACUAGUACUGAGCACACAAAGACAAGAUCUUGUAAAUUGCUAUAAUGUACAAUUUCUAUUUAAAUUUUUAUGUUUUUUGUUUUUUGUUUUACUUUCUUCAACAUAUUACAUAACUGACUGCUUACUAAACAGUUUUAAAUAUUUGUUUUACUAUGGUUCAUAUCUACUGUUUUAAUACGAUUUAUAACAUAUGAUUUUUUUGUCAGACAGGGAUAAAACUAAGAAAGAUAAAAGAUUUUUUUUAGGUGUUUUUGCUUCAUUUAGACAUGAAAAGGGAAUAACGGACGACUAAAUUAGAGAGUUUAUUUUCACAUAGUACAUUGAACUUGCAAAUAUAUCUGAUUUAACAUGUUUUGAUCGGGCCAAUUAAACCUAGUUUAAUACAGUUUUGUUCAUUGAAGUUUUUAUUUUAAAGUAAACAAAUAAGGAAAGAUCUAUUAAUUAAUUUGAUUGAAAAGACAAAACUAAUUAUUUUGCAUUCGCAUGUAAAUUAAUGUAGAAAAAUUACCGAAUCAGAAAUUUAAUGAACAUUUACCCGAUGAAUACUGUGAAAGACUUUAUGCAUUUAUGUCUGUUCGAUAAGAAGUUAUAAAACAAGCUUUUUCAAAAGCUUAUUGUUUGAAAAGUUUACCUACUGUUUUCUAAGGUUUGAUCUUUCCGAGUCUAUUUCAUGAUUACUGACAGAUCAAAAACAUCAAGUAUAUAUAGCAAAAAGUUGUUGGGCAGAAUUUUUAUUGGUCAGUUUUAAAUGAGGUCUGUAUGGGAUUUUGAAUGCCUCAUUUAUUAGAUAAGAAAUCAUUAUUUUGAAGUUGGCAAAAAAUAUAAAUUUACCCCCUAAUUUUGUAAAACUAUCAUUUGGUGUUAUUUUAAUGACAAAAAGGGCUGUUCAAAUCCCUUUGUCCUUCGGGCUCGGGUUUCUGAUCCCCCCUUUUUGUUCGGAGGUCUUUUAAUAUCAAUAUUAACUUAUCAUUGAACUUUUACUAUUACAUAAGAUUGUAUAAAUUGCAGUUACAGCGAAAAUUUGAAAAUUGAAAUUAUAUCUCCGAGGUCUCGAUUUUCACAAUCUUAUGCUAAAUUGAAACUCGAUUGAUAAUACAUUAUGUAAUUAAAAAAAAACAGAGUAAUACAUGUUGAACCUAUCUGUUUUUAUCCAGAGCUAGGAACACGUUUCCGUAAACUUUUCAAUUUCAAUUAUUAUAGCGACAGAUAAUUUGUAAAUUUAAAGGUAAAAAAACAGAAUUUAUACAGACAACUUGCUUUUCGAAGACAUCUUACAGUUGAAUCCCAUAUAAAUUGUAGAAGACAUUUUUUUCAAAAGUCUGUGAAAACUUUUCUUAUUUGUUGAUUGGAAUUUAUAAAGUUCGUUGAAGUGUUCUGUGCAAAUAUAGGGUAAAAUUGAACAAUUUCCAAACGAUACCCUAUAUUUCCUAUGAUAUAUCAUACAAUGACCGUACCAGCCAAUGACAUGGGUGUUAUAACAAGGAAGUCACCAUGAUGAGUUUAUUUUCGCAUUGAUCACGUCGUUCAAUUAUACUUAAUACGAUUCACGUCGAAUAAACAAUACUAUGGAUAAGAUCUUUCUUUUUAAAUCAGUGAUCUAUAUUAAGCUAUUACAGUUUUUAUUUGUAUUUAAUUAACAACGCUUACCUUUAAAAAAAAGAAUAAAGGAUAUACUUAUAUUCUAACUAGUACAUGUCUGCAUAUUUUGAUUUAGCAAGUACGGGAUAUCUAAUCUGACAAACCAAGCCCUUUACUGGUUGCCUAUUUAUUUAAAAUGCAUGAAAUAUUUGUCAUAUAUAUAUCGCUUGAAAUUGAUUCAAAAGCAAUCAAUAGAUCUAUAUAACAAACAAUGUUGCUAUAUUUUAUUGAUUAAGACACAUACAUAGACGAGGCAGGUUAAACCAGGAAUUACAACGCACUAAACGUUAGAGAGUUAGAAAUGGUGCAGAAAAGAUCAGCACGCUUUGUAACAGGGGACUACAGAACCACCAGUAGUGUUACCCAGAUGUUUGAAAACCUGCAAUAGAUUGAAUUACAAGAACGUAGAAAGAGAGUCAAGACCAUGAUGCACUAUCGCAUAAUACACCAUCUUGUUGCAAUACCACCUGAGCAAUACUUAAUACCGAGAAGUGUAGCAUUAACAACUAGAGGACAUGACACCAUAAUCCUACUACCCUACUCGAGAAUAAAAGAAACACCAGCAAUCAUUUUUUUUCCAUCUGUUAUUCGUCUGUGGAAUGAACUAUCAUCUGCUGUCGUCACAGCUUCCACUUUGGAAGGUUUCAAAGACAGCCCCCAGACACCUGCUUCAUGUUAGAUAUUUCAAUUUUAAUUGUAUAUAACACUACGAUGGCUUUUAACCGGAUUUGUGUAAAUAGUAUGUUGGAAAGAUGUUUCCUUUGGCCAUGUGUAAAUAGUCAUUUGCGAUAAUACAUCAGAAGUGGUAUGCAAAUUAUUGGAAGAAGGAGAAGAAGAAGAAGAACACAUAUUACAGAUACAGAUAUUCCUGAGCUAAUAAAUGUAUUUUCGAGUCAAAGAUAACAAUAAUUAAUGUAAUUUAGUCUCAACAUUGGCCUUCAAAAACAAUUACUUAACGUUUAAUGCCGUAGUUUGUUUUGUUUUCGUUUUAGCUAGGCGCGUGUUAGGCUCUAUAUAUCAUCAUCAACAACAACAACAAUACUUUUUUUUAAGAGGGUUACACAGCUAGCUAGAUAAGUAAUCUUCCAUGAGGCCCUCAUCAAGAAAAAUCAAUCAAAAUGCAAACAUAUUCAUUGCAUACAUUUGUAUAAAGAGUCAAGUAUGAUAAAAAAAAAAUCAAUACAACUUGAUAAAAUGUUAUGAAAACAUAAACAUGAUGACAUGAUCAGUUUUCAAUAUCAUUUAUACAGCUAGGUUGAUUUUAAUGAAUUAUCUUUAUUUUUUAUUUGAAAGAAUUAACAUUUGUAAUAUUUCUUAACGAUAUUGGCAAAUUAUUCCACAAGAAUGGUCCAGAAUACAUAAAAGAUUUUUUUAACAAUUCUGUUUUUGAUUUAGAGAAUAUGAGGUUUCCUUGAACAACAUUUCUCAAGGGGUAUGGAUUUCUGUCUGAAACAUACUGAAACUUAUAAGUAAGAUAUGAUGGGGCUUGUGAUAUUUAAUUCGCUGUUCGAACUCUCAUCCAGUUUAAAUGUUUGAAUAAGUACUCGGACGGAGUGAAAGUGUCUGUUUCUCAGUUUUUCAGAAUAAGCAUUACUAUUUUGUACUUGUUGAGUUCUUUCAUUCUAAUACGAUUGAAAUAAAGAAACAACAGCAUUAAUCCAUCAAUUUAAAGUUCUUUUACAGAGAAUAUCAUGAUCUAGUAAAUCAAAAGCUUUCUUAAAAUCCAACAGGACUGCUAAGUUGAUAUUACCAUCAUUUAUAUCCUGUAUCCAUUUAUCUACGACAUUGAUAAGGGAAGUCUGACAAGCGUGUUAUUGUCGAAACCCAGACUGUGCAGAUUGUAAAAGAUCUAAUCGUUUUUAGAUAGUCAUACACAUGUUUUGAAACAUGCUUUUCUAAAAGUUUUGAUAAAACAGGAAGUACAUGCCUUUUAUAGCUGACUAUGCGGUAUGGGCUUUGCUCAUUGUUGAAAGCCGUACGGUGACCUAUAGUUGUUAAUGUCUGUGUCAUUUUGGUCUUUGGGGAUAGUUUUCUCAUUGGCAAUCAUACCACAUCUUCUUUUUUUUUUAUUGUCCUUAAUUUGUUGCUAUGAAUUUUUCACCAGCUUUAAAAACAGGGGUUACUCUUGCAAUCUUUAGAACACUGGGUAAUAUACUUGUAUCUAUUAUUCUGUUAUAAAUGUAAGUUAAAGAUGAAGUUAUGAAAGGAGCAUUCAAUUUUAAAAUGUUUGGUCCUAUGUUACAAGUUUGGUCAUCUCAUUUAAUAGAUCAUUUAUUGAGACUGGUGGAAUUGAAAUUUUACAUGUUCUGACUUACUAAAUUUCUUUUGUACAAAUUGAGUUAAUUUUGCAUAAUCAUGAUUUUUGCAUACAUAUGUCAAUCUCCGGUUUUCUACACAUGAAAAACGUAUUAAAACAUUACAAAUGUCACUGACAAUAUAAGUUUUAACAUCAUCUUAUUAAAAGGUUCAUAUGUAUUUUUUUUUGUUUGGAUGGGUUAAGACUGUGAAUAUAUUUUCACAAAUCUUUCGAAGUUUUUGAAUUUUUUACAAUCUUUGAAUACAAAUUUCAUCGAUUAUGUGUUUAGGCCUGUUUCACCAAAAUUUGAACUCAGACCACAUUCCUAAUUUAUGGUAUUGAACAAUUAUUUUACAAUUAAAUCAAAUUAUAAGAAAUCCAGGGUAAAUCACUAGUUACGAAAGCAACUUUGUCAAUUUCAAUUUGAUAAAGCAGUAGGGUAAGGACCAAUUUUGGCCUCAAAUUUCAGGUUCAUCUCACGAAAGAUUUUGACCACUUUUUAAACACUUAAGUGUCUAUUUUAUUUGAAUUAAUUAGUUUAUAUGAAAGAUUUUAACAGAUUUAGUCAUUAAAAACGAUCCGAUUCAAGCUCAAAUAUGAAAAUCUACCUAAUAUGCCGAAAAAUGUCACUUUUCAGAUGGUUUUUGCUAAAAAUGAAAGUGGCCGCAUCCGUUCAUCCAACCUUUAAUAUGUUAUGUAUUAUCUUAAAAUACAACUAACAUUUCAAUAUUAAAGAUGAACACGAAUGGCCACUUUCGUUUUACACGAAACCGUCUAAAAUUUAACUAAAAUGCUGAAUUAUGAGGUUUCAGUAAUUUAGCAGACUUAAUGUGCUAGUACCGGAUAUAUGUGCAUUGUAUUGUCAAAAACAGCCCAUAUUUAUGUAUCAGAAGCAUUCUACUGUCCAAUAAAUAACUAAGGGUUUACAUUUUAACAAUUUUGUAAAACUGCUAUAUUUUGGGGCCAAAAAGGGGUCUUACUGAACCUACUCCUUUUCCAUGUUUUAAUGAUUAGCAUAAAUAAGCUUAAGUUUACCAGGUUAGAAAAACAGAAAGAUUUCAAAAGAGGGUCAUUCAAACUCAUAAAUAAAGAAAAACUGACAACGCCAUGGCUAAACAAAAUCAAACAAACAAACAAUACUACACAAAACGCAACAUAGAAAGAUAAAGACGAGCCACAUAAAAAGCUGUUGGAUAGGGAUCUCAGAUGCUCGACAUGUUGCUCUUGCUAGCCGGUAAUUAGUCAAAUCGGUAGAUCAUAUUGGUGAAAAAGGAACGGGAUUGUAGCUACGACAUUAGGAACAUAUUCGAUGUAAUCAGUGAAAUGGAUAUUCAACCAAAUCGUGUUUGCGUCAGUAAAAUUGACGAAGGGCUGACCUCAACUUCACUAUUUGAAACUCUUGAUUUAUAAGCUUUCUUGUGAGCAGCAACCCUCUAUAAAAAAUAAUGAUAGGAAAUACCAGCUUUGGAAUAUCGUAUCAUUUUGAUAAAUAUACUCCGUAUGCAGGAGCUUAAGUCAAGAUAUGAGGCAUACUUAAAAGAAGGACGAAAGAUACCAAAGGGACAGUCAAACUCAUAAAUCUAAAACAAACUGACAACGCCAUGGCUAAAAAUGGAAGAGACAAACAAACAACAGCACACAUGACACAACAUAGAAAACUAAAGAAUAAAAACAAGAACCCCACAAAAAAACUAGGAGUGAUCUCAGCUGCUCUGGAAGGGUAAGCAGAUCCUACUCCACAUGUGGCACCCGUUGUGUUGCUUAUGUGAUAACAAAUCCGGUAAAUAGUCUAAUUCGGUAGGUCACAUUCAUGAAAGGGAAGGGGAUUGUAGUAAAUAAGGAACAUAUCCGAUAUCAUUUGUAAAACGGUUAUUCGUUAUAUGAAGGCGUCCGUAAAAUUUACGAAGGGAUGAUUUCAACUUCACCAUUUGGAACUCUUGAUUUAAUAGCUUCCUUUGAGCAGCAACCCUCUAUCAAGAAAAGGAUAGGAAUGCAAGCACUGGAAUAUCGUAUCAAUGAGAUAUAUACCCCGUAUGCAGGCUGCUGCUGAAUGUUGCUACUUAGAAAUGAAAAUUCACAAUUGGAAAGCUGAAAUAUUCUUUUGUCGUAAAGUUUUGUUUUCAACCGACCCUCAUUGUCAAUUUCUAGAUGUAAGUAAGAAAUGAGCCGACUUAACUGGUAUCAUAUAGUAUCCUUCAUCUCUAGCUCAAUGGAAUAGAUGCUUCCAAUAGUCACCAAUUUGAAUUAUUUAGUGAAAGAACAUCAUCUAUAUAGCGGAAAGUAGAGUUAAAGGAUAUUGCUAACUUUUUCUCUUUCUUCCUAAGAAGUUCCUGCAUGAAGUCAGCCUCAUAAUAAUAAAGAAACAAGUCGGCAAGUGGAGGGCACAGUUUUUUCCCAUUGGAACACCAACAGUCUGUUGAAAAACACGUCCUCCGAACGUAACAAAUAUGUUGUCAAUCAAGAAAUCAAGCAUCCUGAUAAUAUCAGUUUCAGAGAAUUUUUUGUUUAAAUCAGAGUGAUCCUUUACAAAGUAGGAUUUAUCCCUCCCUAAGACAAGAUACUUGUAUCAACGUUGGCCAUUCUUUUUUAUGAAGCAAAGCAUACCACUCUUCAAUUCGUCUCUUAGUUUGGAAUGGGGAAUCUUGUGUAAAGGAGUAGAAAAGUCAUAUGUUUUAAUAACGUUACAAGAUCAAAGGAGUUAAUUGUAUGUCUAAAAUAUAGUUGGACUUUUUAAGUAUCCACAUCUGAUUCAGCCCUCUCUAGAUAGGCAGUUAACAAUAACUUUGAAGCCCGUCUUUGAUUGCUAAUAAAAAUAGAUUUAAUAAUUUGAAAGAGGUUUCGUGGGCACUUGAAGACACAAUAUACGUUGUUUGUAAGGACACUUAUGUUGUGUAGUAUCCAUACAGUGAAUGGAAGAUCCAGUUCUUCAUCUUUGGUUGAAGUUCCAAAGGAACACAGAACAGAUCUAAGAUUAUCCAGGAUUUCCUCUUUUGUAAGUGUCUUGAGGGUAUAUGUUGAGUUUCCAAGUGAAUUGUCAAUACCUAAUCCGUUUAUCAAGCAGUUAAUGUAAUGAGUGUAAUAAGUUUUACACACAAAAACGAUGUUGUUUGGGGCUUUCUCUGCGGGGACAAUAACAUAUUUGUCAUGGAGGUAGGAUAGGUGUUAAGCAACAUUUGGGUCUUUAAAGAUUGGCGUAGCAUGGGCAUUGAUAGACCCAUUCAGUUCCUUAAUUCUGAUUUGUAUCAACGACCUCACUGCUUUAUCCAUUUCGAAAGAGUGUCUACGUCUUCCUUCUCGCGCUGAGCCCUUGCCUGGCAUAAUCUCAACUGAGUCCAUCAAAAUUUUAAAGUUGUAUUUCCAAUUGAUGGAUUUAGGCUCACGAUAUUUCGGACCUUUCGAUAACAUAUUUCGUAGAGAAGUGUUAUUAACAAUGUUGAGGUCACCGGUAAUAACGUGACCAGCAGGAUUAUAUGUGAAUUGGGAACUAGCACAAGUGCAAUCAGGAGUUUGGACUUGAGUCGUCAAUAUCGAGAUCCUGCAAAACGUGUUUGUAAUUGAAAAUUUUAGUUGCAAUAGGUUUGGUAUAGGUAUAAGAAAUGAUUGGUACAGAAUGGUCUUUGAAAUAAGGAGGUAUUUUCGAUUGAACUAAUUUAUGAUGAAGGAUAUUGCCUAAGUUGACGCCAUCGAGACCUUUGUUGCAAAGGAAAGAUUAAGGAAAGAUCUUUUCUCUUUUUCAUCUUUGCCAAUGCGGACUGGCUUGAAAAGUCUGUGACUUGCAAUAUCCGAAAUUAUAGCCUCAAGUUUGUAUUGGUUUGAAUGAGGGUUUGUAACAGUGGAUUUCAAACAUAAAUUGAACAUAGAAUGAAGUUUUGAAAGGGGUAAUGAAUAAAGUUUCGUGCGGAUGUGAUGAAUACUUAACGGCUUUUGUAUAAAUGGAAGCAAGUCAUUAAUAGAUACAUCAUGCAGAGAAGGUGAUGUAUAAUGACAAUGACCAUGACUGCGUCUAUGUCGAGGAGUCGAGUUGAAAAUAUUCAUCACAUUCACCGAGUUACACGAAGGACUAGAUAGAAUACACUUAACUGUAUCUGUCAUAUCCUUUAUCUCUUUCAGUGUAAAAUAUAGCAGGGGUUUCAAUAUAAAUAACAAAAUGAGGUAUACGUACCAAUCAAACCACCCUCCACAGUAUAAAGCAUGGUAAACUAUUUUAUUAUGUCUUCCAAUAGUCUAAUAAUAUAACCUUGAAAUCGUAAAAAAAUAACUUCUGUUUAAGUCCAUAAAAAGAAUCUUUUGGGUGAUUUUUUUAACUGUAAACGGAGUUGAACUAUGUUCAAAGAACAUGUCUCUAUUUAGACUCAUUUAGACAUUAUCCUUUGAUUGAUUACUAACCAUACAUAGUACUGUAUUUUACAGGUCAGACGUGUUUAGAUGGUUAUAGCCUAUGUUCAGGAACUUAUUGGUGCUGUGCUGAUGGUUACGUUUGCACUGGGUCAUCAACCUGUUUAUCCAUUGG